CGUUGGUUCGUUCUACUUCGGUGGAGCGUCGUAAGAGGGAACCCGGUGUAAUUCCGGGACUGUCCCGCAGCGGUAUUGGGGAACAAACCAUCAUCAGCACUGGGUGCUUGCACUCGGGAAGCGAUGGCGCGAAACCCGGCUUUGCCGGAAUGCCCCUAAGUCCGAAGACCUGCCAGCAA
rnacentral:ncRNA from 1 species